UCCGGCUUAUCACCGGCAGUUUCUUUAGAGUGCCCAACUAAAUGAUGGCAACUAAAGACGAGGGUUGCGCUCGUUGCGGGACUUAACCCAACAUCUCACGACACGAGCUGACGACAACCAUGCACCACCUGUGAACCGGCCCCAAAGGGGAAGCCGCAUCUCUGCGGCGGUCCGGCCCAUGUCAAGCCUUGGUAAGGUUCUUCGCGUUGCAUCGAAUUAAUCCGCAUGCUCCGCCGCUUGUGCGGGCCCCCGUCAAUUCCUUUGAGUUCUAGCCUUGCGGCCGUACUCCCCAGGCGGUGUGCUUAUCGCGUUAGCUAAGGCGCGCACUCAAUUAAGAGCACACACCGAGCACACAUCGUUUACAGCGUGGACUAC
rnacentral:misc_RNA from 1 species